rnacentral:rRNA from 1 species
AUUGAACGCUGGCGGCAGGCCUAACACAUGCAAGUCGAGCGGAUGAAGGGUGCUUGCUCCUGGAUUCAGCGGCGGACGGGUGAGUAAUGCCUAGGAAUCUGCCUCGUAGUGGGGGAUAACGUCCGGAAACGGGCGCUAAUACCGCAUACGUCCUGAGGGAGCAAGUGGGGGAUCUUCGGACCUCACGUUAUCAGAUGAGCCUAGGUGGGAUUAGCUAGUUGGUGGGGUAAAGGCCUACCAAGCCGACGAUCCGUAACUGGACUGAGAGGAUGAUCAGUCACACGGGAACUGAGACGCGGUCCAGACUCCUACGGGAGGCAGCAGUGGGGAAUAUUGGACAGUGGGGGAGAGCCUGGUACAGUGAGGGCGCGUGUGUGGAGGAGGUCUUCGGAUUGUAAAGAAGGUUAAGUUGGGAGGAAGGGCAGUAAGUUGAUACCUUGCGGUAUUGACGGUACCAACAGAAUAAGCACCGGCUAACUACGUG